ACCAGCAGUCCAGCUAUGCCAAAUGUCCUUGAUGCCAUUGGAGAUGUCAAACUCAACAACUUCAUGAAUGCACAGCUGAACAACGCCAGUUUCGUUGACAAGUUGUUCCAGAAGAUGCUCCGUCCAUUCUUGGCAUCUCCAUCUAGGAAUUUCCUCUCCUGUCUCAGCUCAAAGAACUUCAGUUGUCAGACCUACCAAAUUGUCAUUGAGGCUCUAAGCAACCAAUCAGCCUCCAUGGACAGAGAGCAACAACGAGUGAUCUUCACUCAUUACAUCUAUCCAUUCCUUUCAAGAAAUGACUCAUCAGAUCCCGGCUGUGUCUCAAACACCAGUGGAAGCAUGGACUGGCUCCAGAGGAACUUUGGCAUCUUUUCUGUUUUUGCAGAACUGCAGGAGUUACAAGUCCUUAAUCCCGACUUC